GUGGGGAAUUUUGGACAAUGGGCGCAAGCCUGAUCCAGCCAUGCCGCGUGGGUGAAGAAGGCCUUCGGGUUGUAAAGCCCUUUCGGCUGGGACGAAAAGGUCCGUAUUAACACCACGGAUCCAUGACGGUACCAGCAGAAGAAGCACCGGCUAACUACGUGCCAGCAGCCGCGGUAAUACGUAGGGUGCAGGCGUUAAUCGGAAUUACUGGGCGUAAAGCGUGCGCAGGCGGUUUGCUAAGAGAGAUGUGAAAUCCCCGGGCUUAACCUGGGAACUGCGUUUCUAACUGGCAGGCUUGAGUGUGGCAGAGGGGGGUGGAAUUCCACGUGUAGCAGUGAAAUGCGUAGAGAUGUGGAGGAACACCGAUGGCGAAGGCAGCCCCCUGGGCUAACACUGACGCUCAUGCACGAAAGCGUGGGGAGCAAACAGGAUUAGAAACCCGGGUAGUCC
rnacentral:rRNA from 1 species